AGGUCUAGGCCGGUCUGAAGUGAGAUGAGGCAGAGCCGUGGCAGAGGGCUGGGCUUCCACAGUGACUGCAGGGAAACCUCCCACUGUGUCCCCGGGGCCAGGCCCCUUCCCUUGGGAAGGGCUGCGGAAGGCGGCGGGGGGCUGGAGGGAGCGCUGGGGGCUGCGUCACCCACGCUUCCCCGGGCUGUCAGACUCCCCGGCAGCGCCGGGGCCUCACAGGUAGAGACGCCCCCUCCCGCGGUUCGCGGGGCCGGGGAGGAGGGGCCGGGCUCCGAGCGCCCGCCCCUCCAUCUAUCACAUGGCCGGAGAGUCACAAAAACAACAGCUUUGGCCAAGACCGUGACUUCAGGAAGGGAGCUCAGGGCCCUCGCCGCCAGCCCCCUCCCCAUGGAGGACAGUUUUCUGGAAUCGUUCGGGAGGCUGAGCCUCCAACAGCGGCAGCAGCAGCCGCCUCCUCGGCCGCCGCCCGCUCGGGGGCCACCUCCGCGCCGCCACAGCUUUAGGAAACACCUCUACCUCCUGCGCGGCCUCCCGGGCUCGGGAAAAACCACGCUGGCCAGGUAUUGUUAGAACUCAGAGGGUAGCUCACACACAUCUCCUUUAUCCACAUUUCAUACCUCAGCAAGAACUAGUUGCUCAGAUGGGUCCUUACAGAGAUCAGAGCUCCGAGGAAUGGGACCCAGGACAGACAGCUGCAGCACGACUACCCCAGAGCCCUGAUUUUCAGCACCGAUGACUUUUUCUUCAAGGAAGAUGGCACCUAUGAGUUCAACCCCAACCUCUUGGAGGAAGCUCAUGAGUGGAACCAGAGAAGAGCAAGGAAAGCAAUGAGGAAUGGCAUAUCCCCCAUUAUUAUUGAUAACACCAACCUGCACGCCUGGGAAAUGAAGCCCUAUGCAGUCAUGGCUCUUGAGAAUAACUAUGAAGUUAUAUUCCGGGAACCCGACACUCGCUGGAAAUUCAACGUUCAAGAGUUAGCAAGAAGAAACAUCCAUGGGGUCCCAAAAGAAAAAAUACAACGAAUGAAAGAACGGUAUGAACACAAUGUUACCUUUCACAGUGUCCUUCAUGCAGAAAAGCCGAGCAGAGCGAACAGAAACCAGGGCAGGAACAGCGAACCGUCCAGUGGCUCCGGCUACUGGAACACCUACACAGAGCUCCCCAACCGGAGAGCUAAUGGCCUCUACUCCAACGAGGGCUACAGAAGGGGUGGCCACCACCAAGGAUAUUAAUGGCCCGGGCACAGCUACUGCAGAAUUUUCCUAGAGAAAGUUUCUACUUCAAUUUUUGGUAUUUAUUCUUUGUUCAGGGUUAGCCAGAGCUCUAAGUCCAGUGUAAAUAGUUGAGCCCAGAAGUUUCUGAACAGAGGUCAUUCUAUUUAUUAUCUCCAACAAGUGACGUCAGCGUGCGUCCGUACUCAUGGUCUGAUGCUGGGGACCUGCUGAGGAGUCAAGGGUCUUUCUCCAGGGAAAGAAUUGGAUUGAAAUUGAAAUCCAAGAUUAUCAAUUAGUUGCUACAGUCAUGAAUAAAACAAGAUGGUACUAGUACAUUUCUAUAGGCUGCAGUACUACUGUCUCUGACAGAUCCAGCCUCUCCACAGAGCUGGAGAGGUGAGGGAGGCAGAGGCAGGAAGCAGCUUGGUGCCAUUGCCGCUUUGAUGAUCUAUCUGCCUCCAGAGACCUGAGCCGUCACUUUAAUGGCACUGAUUUUCUUUUAGACCUAAAGUGCAGAAGGGAAUGUAGUCCUUCAGGGUAACAUUAGGAGAGUUACCCCCCUCUGUUAAAAAUGCCUGUGAAUUCUUAGUAACAAAGGCAACUAAGAAGAAUCAGUACCAUUAUAGUCAAACCCUGUAGACAGCAGUGUCAGGACAAACUCCUCCCUCUAGCUUGUAGUCUAACGGUGUAAAUAAUUCUGCUUUCGCAAAAUACCAGUUUUUAAGAAUCAUCAAGUGAUUUCUAAAAUGAUGCCUUGUAACGUGUUAUUAAUUAGUAACCCAGUUAUUUAGGAGUGCAAAGCAAGGAAGCAGCCAGGGUGAUACAAGGAGAUAUGAAAGCCAUGCCCACCUGGAUGAGCAGUCUGGCUGUUGUAUGUGGUGUUGAGACAGUAAACUGUGGAAUGCCCCUCAUAUCAAUUAUGGAUGUGAGUCCAAAUUAAAUCCCAGCAGGCUGGAGUCAGAUUCAUUGGUAUGAGAACGUGACAAGACCAUGUGAAAUGUAUGCUCUAUUUAUUUUUGGCCAACAGCUUCUUUCUAAUGUUUUGUGAGAUAUUAUUUUAAGUGUCUUAUAUAAUGGUGCUUUUAUGGUUAUUAAAAUUGUAUAUGGUAUUGAAUUUA